CUGAAUUGGAAGGGAAGAGGUUUAUACAAUAAACAGGAGACCUUUUUCUUACAGGACAUGUAUGACUCAGCUGAAUGGGUAGGUGCCACGCACAUGACUGUUAAUCCCCUCAAACCACACAUUAGGACUUUAAAAGACAUGGUAGUCAUCCCAUAUUUGAGGAUACUAGGGCUGUAGAGACAGGUUUCUCUGACACUAACUUGUGACUUGAAUGGAUGAAAUACAAUGCUA